CCUACGGGGGGCUGCAGUCGGGAAUUUUGGGCAAUGGGCGCAAGCCUGACCCAGCAACGCCGCGUGAAGGAAGAAAUAUUUCGGUAUGUAAACUUCGAAAGAAUAGGAAGAAUUAAUGACGGUACUAUUUAUAAGGUCCGGCUAACUACGUGCCAGCAGCCGCGGUAAUACGUAGGGACCAAGCGUUGUUCGGAUUUACUGGGCGUAAAGGGCGCGUAGGCGGCGUGUCAAGUCAAUUGUGAAAUCUCUGAGCUUAACUCAGAACGGCCAAUUGA
rnacentral:rRNA from 1 species